GAUGAACGCUGACAGAAUGCUUAACACAUGCAAGUCCACUUGAACUUCGGUUUGGGUGGCGGACGGGUGAGUAACGCGUAAAGAACUUGCCUCACAGAUAGGGACAACAUUUGGACACGAAUGCUAAUACCUGAUAUUAUGAUUAUAUGGCAUCGUAUAAUUAUGAAAGCUAUAUGCGCUGUGAGAGAGCUUUGCGUCCCAUUAGCUAGUUGGAGAGGUAACGGCUCACCAAGGCGAUGAUGGGUAGCCGGCCUGGGAGGGUGAUCGGCCACAAGGGGACAGAGACACGGCCAGUACUCCUUCGGGAGGAAGCAGUGGGGAAUAUUGGACAAAGGACCAAGAGUCUGAUCCAGCAAUUCUGUGUGCACGAUGAAGUUUUUCGGAAUGAAAAGUGCUUUCAGUUGGGAAGAAAAAAAUGACGGUACCAACAGAAGAAGUGACGGCUAAAUACGUG
rnacentral:rRNA from 1 species